rnacentral:rRNA from 1 species
GAUGAACGCUGGCGGCAUGCUUAGCACAUGCAAGUCGUACGACUGGGUUUCUUGAAACCUAAGGAGUGGCGGACGGCUGAGUAACGCGUAGGUGACCUGCCCCGAAGUGGGGGAUAACUGCCCGAAAGGGUGGCUAAUACCGCAUGUGGCGACGUCUUCAGUGACGUCAUCAAAGCCGCGAGGCGCUUCGGGAGGGGCCUGCGUCCGAUUAGCUCGUUGGUGGGGUAACGGCUCACCAAGGCGACGAUCGGUAGGUGGUCUGAGAGGACGAUCACCCAGACUGGGACUGAGACACGGCCCAGACUCCUACGGGAGGCAGCAGUCGGGAAUUUUGCUCAAUGGGCGCAAGCCUGAAGCAGCAACGCCGCGUGAGGGAUGAAGGCCUUCGGGUUGUAAACCUCUUUUUCCAGGGACGAUGAUGACGGUACCUGAAGAAUAAGUCACGGCUAACUACGUGCCAGCAGCCGCCGUAAGAC